CUCGAACGAGGUCCAACCGGUCGCAAGACCUUCUGAAGACCGAGUGGCGAACGGGUGCGUAACACGUGAGGAACCUGUCCCGGUCUCCGGAAUAACAAGUGGAAACACUUGCUAAUACUGGAUGACGUCGGAUCGUCGCAUGACGAACUGACGAAAGGGUUACCGGAUCGGGAGGGUCUCGCGGCCUAUCAGCUCGUUGGUGGGGUAACGGCCCACCAAGGCUUCGACGGGUAGCUGGUCUGAGAGGAUGAUCAGCCACACUGGGACUGAGACACGGCCCAGACUCCUACGGGAGGCAGCAGUGGGGAAUCUUGCACAAUGGGCGCAAGCCUGAUGCAGCAACGCCCGCGUGCGGGAAAAAAAGCCCUAGGGGUUGUAAACCGCUUUCAGCAGGGAAGAAAAUGACGGUACCUGUAGAAGAA
rnacentral:rRNA from 1 species